ACUCAGGUGGCUUAGUGGUUAGAACGUCUGCCUCAGAUGUAGAAGGUCAUGGGUUCGAUAUGGCAAAGUCAUACUAAAUA